rnacentral:lncRNA from 1 species
CAGCAGCCACAGUAUCGACCAAAGGCUCUUGAAAGAAGAAACACAUUCAAGGCCAUUAGUCUGUGGUUGCAUGUGUAUUCGGGUCUCCAACUCACACUCACUCCAUCCUGACAAGUGCAGAAGGUGAAAACAUUGCUAGACAGUCUGUUUCUGAGAGGGAUCAACCUGUUGCCGAAAGAUUUAUCAUCAGGAAACUGUGAGCUGGGACGUGAAAGGCCAGUGCUGUGAUGAGAUGGUUGAAAGCAGAUCCAUUGUUCUCGGCCAGAGAUAGUCACCACAACAUAUGGGCCUACUACAAUGAAGGUGCAGUCUUCGCCAUUUGGGGCCAACGCUUCUCGACUCAGAAGAGAAACCUAAAUUUUACGAUGGACUCUUCAUGUUCCUCACUAUAUCCUUUGAAUAAUAACUUACUGUUGUGUCAGGUAUUCCCAGUCCACUGUCAACACCUAACAAAGUCAGUAUCUGAAGCCCUUUUUUAUCUACAGUGUCUCUCCUGA